GCAGCAGGACGGUCUGUCGCUGGCUGUCGCAAGACAGAAAGAGGAAAGUCCGGGCAACACAGGGCAUCGUACUUCUUAAUGGGAAGCUGUUCGUGAGGGCAGAGUUAAGGUAACAGAAAAUAACCGCCUACGGGUAAGGGUGAAAAGGUGAGGUAAGAGCUCACCGGUCUGCAUGGUGAUAUGCAGAGCCGUACCACUUGCGAGUUGUAAGACCAUGUAUACCGGCGUAUGUAGGGCUGCCCGCCCGAUGCCGGGGGGUAGGUCGCUAGAGGUUGUCGGUGACGGUAGUCGUAGAUAAAUGACAGACGCCUUAGCAAUAAGGCACAGAACCCGGCUUACAGGCCUGCUGUAUUA
rnacentral:RNase_P_RNA from 1 species